rnacentral:rRNA from 1 species
UCGAGAAUCUUCGGCAAUGGGCGCAAGCCUGACCGAGCGAUGCCGCGUGCGGGAUGAAGGCCUUCGGGUUGUAAACCGCUGUCAGAGGGGAUGAAAUACGGUGGGGGUUCUCCCCCAUGUUUGACAGAUCCUCAGAGGAAGGACGGGCUAAGUUCGUGCCAGCAGCCGCGGUAAGACGAACCGUCCAAACGUUAUUCGGAAUUACUGGGCUUAAAGGGUGCGUAGGCGGCUUGGCAAGUUGGGUGUGAAAUACCUCGGCUCAACCGAGGAAUAGCGCUCAAAACUGCUGAGCUUGAGGGAGAUAGAGGUGAGCGGAACUUAAGGUGGAGCGGUGAAAUGCGUUGAUAUCUUAAGGAACACCCGUGGCGAAAGCGGCUCACUGGAUCUCUUCUGACGCUCAGGCACGAAAGCCAGGGGAGCGAACGG